UUCCUGCUUUAGGACUGCACCCCCUACUUGGGUCUACAGUCACAGAUGUACACUUGACUGUACACUUGACCCUUAGCCCGCAUUCCAAAGGGCAAAACAUCUUUGGCCCACAUUGUGACAUAUGGUUGCUAGGCAGGGGGUCUUUGUUUAAGGUUCUGAACACAUGAGCUUUUUGUGAAAAAAUUUUCUGUGGCUAAGGUAGGUGAGACUUGGCUCAUGUGGGCUGUCAGCAUUAAAUACCUCAUCCUGUUUCAUGGCAUGAACAUGCAGUUGUGUGUAAUGCUGAAGAACUGAAACUGUCUUGUUCACAGCUUACAGGACUGAGCAUGGCAACUUUACUGGAAGCAAGUGACCAUAGGAUUACCAUUUAAGGCAGUAUUAGCCUCCAUCUUUGAAGCCUGACACCAUUUCACUGAUGCUGGAAGAAGAAAUGGGAAAUUUCUAACAGAAGUCUGUAUUUCAUUAGCUUUGGUAUAACACUACUAAAUAUAUAAUUAAUAUUUUAAGUUAUAACAAUUGUAAAACAUAAAAAUAAAAAUAAUAUACCCUUAGGUUAAAUGAAUUGGGAUAAAUAAGUGCAUUUCCUCUAGCUACCUCCCCUAUACCUAUAGAGAUUAGCAUUAGGACAUUUAAGAAGCCAUAUUGUGCUGGAGCAGAGAGAAGAGGAAAGAAACAAACAGAAGUCAGGAGAUGUUAAUAGUUUUGGAUGUUGGGAGGAACAGCUAAACAGAAUUCUAUAAUUAAUUUAGAAUGUUUGAUCCAAAUUUGUGAAGGCUGUGGUGAGUGCUUGGAUUUAAGGAGCAUAAACUCUUAUUCCUUUCAACAACCUUAUUCAACAACAUGAUUGCUGAUUCUUCAUUUGCUCUCAGGAGAUAUAGACAAAGAAAGUCCUCAUAGAGGACUGCACUAUCAAAGAUGAGACACUAUUUUCAACACAUUUAUCUCCAGAGAAUUGGUUUAAAUAGAUGAUGUGACCUAUACUGACUGAUGUUUGGACAUCCUCCAACAAAGGAUCUCAGGUCCUACAUAGUCCCCUACAGUGGGCUAGCCAUAUGACAACCCUACAUAGAAUUUAUAAACAGGUUUUUUUUCUAUGUGUGUGUUCACUUUUAACUGUUUACAGAAUAUCUUUCUGCUUGGAAAAUAACCUAUUAAAGUGAAAUUUGGGCAUUAACCUUAUUUACUAUGUCUAGUCAACUCUGCACCUCAUUGAAAAGUGCUCUGGAGAUCCAGAGGUGUUCUUUUUUAUAAUCCCCUUUCUAGUAUUUUCACCAUUUGGAAAUUUAUAGAUAUCCAACUAUAAUGAGAUCAUUUUCAGGUAGAAUCACAUAGUUGUGCUCCUUAUAGAUGUUUUAUUUUCUCUUUCUAUUUAAUAGUACUUAAUUCUGGAAAUUAAGCAUUAUCUGAAAUGCUUUUAAAAUUGGCAGCAAUAUUUCUUGCUCAAGAUCAUAGUUCAUAAUAGUAUGUGUGCACAAUUGAUCAUAAUGAUAGGACUAAGAACCAAAGGGAUCACAUAAACAAGAAUAGUGUCUGCAAAUACUAGCUGAUAGAAUCAAAAAGGGAGAGAAUGAUCCAACAUGGAAAGUGAGAUACACAGCAGACCCAUAGAUGUCCUAAACAGCACUCUGGCCUCAGAAUCAGCCCUUAAGGCAUGCGGAUCUGGCUGAAAAGCCCAUGAGAGUAUUUCAGGCAUGGAAAGCCAAAACAUUCUGGGGAAAACAAAAAACUAAAUGAAAGAUCUCCGCGAGUGAGAUCCCAGUGGAAAGAAUGGGUCAUCAAAGAAGGAGGUACCUUUCUCUGAAGAGAGGAGAGAACUUCCACUUUGACCAUGGCCUUGUCUAAAAAUUAUCAGAGUUGGUGAACUCAGGGGGCUUCCAUAGCCUUGGCAGCUCAUGACAAGAGCCUAGGGUGAUUACUGAUGCCAUAAACAAGAGUGUCAAUUUGUUAAGUCAACAACAGGAAUCACUGUGCACUUACUCCUCAUGUAGGAUCUUUGUCCUUAGUGUGCUGUACAUUGAGAUUUAAUGCUAUAACGAGUACUCAAACAGUAUUUUUCACUUUAUGUUUCUGUGUGGGAGCAAACUGUUGAAAUCUUUACUUAAUGUAUGCUAAACUGAUCUUCUGUAUAUAAAGAGAAACGAAAAUGAAUCUUGAUAUGAAUGGAAGGGGAGAGGGAGUGGGAAAGGGGAGGGUUGCAGGUGGGAGGGACGUUAUGCAGGGGAAGCCAUUGUAAUCCAUAAGCUGUACUUUGGAAAUUUAUAUUCAUUAAAUAAAAGUUUAAAAAAAAGAAAAAAAAAUAAUAGUAUGUGUGUAGAUAUUUGUAGUAUUUUACUAUUCUUACUAGUUUCCUACUUGUUUGCUACUUUCAUAAAAGUUAGGAUUAGAAGAAUAGCAUCUAACUGAGAAGUAGUGAAUUUAAGUAAUUUGCUUCAUGUUAUGUGCAUAAAUAUGAUUGCAUUGUACAUUAAUUUCUAUGGCCUCUGUUUUGUCAAAGUGCUGUUUUCUAAUUACUAAAAUUUGUAGUUAUUCUCUUGUUUCAUCUUUAAUUAAUUUUCAAAAAAAAUCACCUUAUGUUUGUUUUUACCUAAGGAAACUAUGCUUAAGAAUAAAAAACAAAAACUUAAAGAUAAUUUACAUAAACAUUUAGAUAGUUCUGUAACUUAUUUCCUUUCAGAUAUUUUUCAUUGUCUACCAUGUAAGGUUUAGUUGAAAGUGUUUUAUUGUGUAUUUGCAGUUCUAAUCCUUGAUAUCUUGAUUCUUUAUAUGAUUUAUUUAACAUGCCUUAAUUACUGCCAUAUGCCAUCUGCUGAGGGCACUGAGCAAGAAAAUAAUCCUCUUGGAGGCUUCAAAACUGAUGGUAUCUUAUGAUAAGUACUCAAACAUCUUUUUGCUCUUAGAGUACAAAAGAAUCACCCUAACUAGUCUCCGGUCAGGAAAGGCUUCUUAGAAGAAAGUAAUGUCUAGACUGGUCUUUAAGAAUGAAGUGCAAGUCACUAAGAAAAAGAUGGACACACUGUGCAAAGUGGGCCAUAUAGUCCCACACCUCAGGACAGCAGAAUGAAGUACACAAUCCAUGUACAUACGGUUCAGCAUAGCUCAAGCCACAUAGUUCUAUGAAAAUAGGAGAUAGAUUAGAAAGAGUAAGAUAUUAGAGGAUCUAGUAUGCCAAACUCAGGAAUUUGUAUUUUAAUCUAAAUGUUAUUGAUGGAAUUGUAAAGCAGUAUGUGACUGGAUAAGAUUUACCUUUUAAGAAAGAGCUCUCUGCAGUGGCAUUGAAGGUUGGAGACUGAAGGUGGGCAAAUCAUGCCAGAGAUUUUGUGAUUACCUUAAUCCCAUGCUAUAAGCAAGGUGCUGUUUGUGUGUGUGAGGAAGUUAUAAUCUGACAGAAGAAUACAAUGCAUUUUAUAUCUAGGCAUUGUGUGAACUUAUUUAAAAUAAAUACUAUGUAAUUAUUUUUUUUUUGACAGGCAGAGUGGACAGUGAGAGAGAGAGACAGAAAGAAAGGUCUUCCUUUGCCGUUGGUUCACCCUCCAAUGGCCGCUGCGGCCGGCGCGCUGCGGCCGGCGCACCGCGCUGAUCCGAUGGCAGGAGCCAGGAGCCAGGUGCUUUUCCUGGUCUCCCAUGGGGUAUUAUAUAAUUAUUUUUAAAAUACAUUUCCAAAAUAAUGGAAAAUGGCCCAUGUCUCUUGGCCCCUGCUACCCCUGUGGGAGACCCAUAAGAAUCUUUUGGAUCCUAGCUUCAGCCUGUCCCAGUCUCAGAUAUGUAGCCAUCUGGGAAGUGAAACAAUAGAUGGAAGAUCUCUCUGUGUGUCUCUUCUUUCUCUCUGUAGCUCUUUCUGUCUCAUAAAUAAAUAAAUCCUGGGGCCAGCACUGUAGCACAGUGGGUUAAAGUCCUGGCCUGAAGCGCCAGCAUCCCAUAUAGGUGCCCGUUGUAGUCCUGGCUGCUCCACUUCCAAUCCAGCUCUGUGCUAUGGCCUGGGAAAGCAAUAGAAGAUGGCCCAAGUGUUUGGGCCCCUGUACCCACAUGGGAGAUCUGGAAGAAGCUCCUGGCUCCUGGCUUUGGAUCGGCACAGCUCUAGCCAUUGUGGCCAUCUGGAGAGUGAACCAGCAAAUGUACAACCUCUGUCUCUAUUUCUCUCUGUGACUCUGUCUUUCAAGUAAAUAAAAUAAAUCUUUAAAAAAAGAGCAAAUAAAUAAAUCUUUAAAAAUAAAAGUGUUAAAAACCUGUUCCCAAUCUUUCAUAAAAGUAAGAUUUCAUUCCUUUUUUAUUGCUGAUUAGUAUUCCAUUGUGUAUAUAUACAAUAAUUUGUUUAUCCAGCAUUCGUUGAUUCCAUAACUAAGCUAUUGUGAAUUGAGCUGAAAUAAACUUUUGGGUACACAUAAAUUUUUCCAUAUGCUGAUUUCAUUUCAUUUGGAUAAAUUCCCAUAAGUGGGAUUGCUAGUCAUAUAGUAGAUCUAUUUUCAGAUUCUGAGGAAUCUCCACAGUGUCUUCUACAAUGUCCAUACUAGUUUAUGUUCCCAAAAAUUGUAUAUUAGGGAACAUUUUCCCAACAUCCUAACCAGCAUUUAUGUUUUGUUGAUUUCUAUGUGGUUGCUAUUCUAGCUGGGAUGAGGGGGAACUUCAUUCUGGU